GUUUAUAUAAGUAACAUUGAAUUGUUUUGAAAUGAAUCGUCUGAAAAUGAUAGAUUUCUUCAUUUUUCUUAAUUUGCAAAAAAUCUAAAAACAUGUUUCUCUUCAUUGUUGGCUUGUAAAUGUAGAUAAAUGAGAUUUUGAAUAUAUGAAUUUAAAAUUUCAUUUAUAUCAUUAAACAUAUUUAUAAUUCACCAUUUGGAUCAAUAACAAACUGUCAGAAAAUUUUUUAGUGAAAAUAUGUUCAAAUGGCUUAAAAUAAUGUAAAGUUUAUUUAUAGCCCUGCUUAUAACACAAAUCACAAAGUGCUUUAAAAUACAGAAUAAGACAGCAAAUAAAAUGGUGUAAAUAGUUAAAACGAAAUAAAGGCAAGCCUGAACAGCUGUGUCUUACAAGUGAACUGUAUAUGAUCAUAGUUUAUUAUUUUACAUUUACAAGCUUUAGAUUAAAACACAGUAGCUUUGUUAGUCACUCUGUAGCCAAUUCUUUGUAACAUUACAGUAAUUCAUGUCUAAGACAUGGAUGUUAACAUAACCCCUGGUUUUUCUCAUGUACUCUCUUUUGUCCACUUACUGUUGAGGUGGAUGAUGUGUUGUCAGCACUAGCAGCAGGACCUGUGGGAAUAAAGAGACAGCGCUACAGAGAGGUAAAUGUUCCCACACAGCAUGAAGAUCAGGUGACGCCGUAUCUCCUGCUCUGUGGGUUGGGUUACAGAGUGUAUUCGAAGCAUAGAGACAAGUUUGGGAGGAAGAAGGCUGUUGAUCACCUGGACACUGAUUCCUGCAAACAGACCUCUCUGAAUAAGUGGGAAGCAGCUGGAGAGUAAAUAAAGCACAUACACCUCUUUGUCAACUGUGGAAUUCAAUGAAACUUUAUUUACAUAGUGCCAAAUCACAACAACAGCUGCCUUAAAGUGUGUUAUAUUGUAAACACUCAAAGGGUUUACACGACAUGCACUCCCCAAACAUACUCUAUACUCCCAGGUCCAGGUAUCACCGCCCCCAGGGGGGCAAUCAGCCCCCAGACCCAGGAAAUGUUACCCUUUUCCCAGGGGUGGAGGGAAGCAGGCCGCCCCCGGCCUGGCAGCCGCAGGGAGGCCCAGCGUCCCAGACCCUAAUCGGACAGCCAACUCCUCCCAGCCCCCCACCCCGAUGGUGUACAGGGGUGUAAAGUCCGCAUACCUCACUCCGCCCGCUCAUAUGUUGUGUUGCUGUGUGCUGUUCUAAAGUGCAUUUAAAACACAGGAGGGGCAUGGUGCUUCCUGCCAGAGAGCAGCAGCAGGCGGCUCCUGAGAAUCCUCGAUGUCUACAUGCAUCUCAAUUUGAGAGGUGGGCACCGGCGCCAGAGGUGAGGUUGGAUGGAUAGAAAGCCUCAUCUCUGCUCUUCAAUACCAUAGAAAUUCUUUCCUGGUUUAAACUAAAGAGAAGGCUGAGGAUGGCGCUGGUUUAAGUGCAGAAACUCACCAACCAGAAAGACAGAAGGCAGGAGAAUAAAGCAGCUCUACUCUACUAAACCAUCUGAGGUAUACCCUGACAUGAUUCAUGCCUGCUGUCUGGCACCACAAAUGAACCAGCUGCUAAUGGAUGAGACACACCAAGAACGAAGACCGGACAGUCCCGAGUCCCAUGGAUCCCCAGAGGAGACCGGUCCCAUCCAACUACCAAAUAUGUUUUCUCACUACCACAUUGAAGCUCCCGUCAGGCAUCACAGUGGCUAAGGUGAACAGGCCUAUGGCUCGAUACAUGAGUGGGGCCACAGAAAGGAAUUAGCAGGACCACCACCAGAGGGGCGAAACAUCAACUACUGGUGGACAGAGCAGUCACUGAACAGUGCAAGACCAGACCUACCCGUGGGCUAAGCCUAUGACUCAAUGCCCCACACAUGGAUCCUUGAGUCCCUAGAACUACAAACGAUCAACAGCACCCUAAGAGCCUCCAUGGGGAUGUGGCGAACAUCACUACAGGCCAACUUCAACCCAAUAGGAUGAGUCACUAUCAAGUGCAGGAUUUACCAAGGAAAUGCUCUGUGGAGGGGUGGAGUGCCCAUUCUGGGUCAGGGACGGGAACAGGAAGUAUCUAGGGGUCUUGUUCACAAGUGAGGGGAGAAGGGAGCGGGAGAUCAACAGACAGGUCACUGCAGCCAAUAAGCGGUAACCUGUCUGUCAUGGUGAAGAGAGAACUGAGCCAAAAAGCCAAACUCUCCAUUCAUGUCCCCACCCUCACCCUGUGCUUUGGGUAGUGACUGAAAGAACAGGAUCAUGGAUACAAGUGGUGUAAAUGAGCUUUCUCUGAAAGUUGGCUGGCCUCUCCCUUAGAGACAGGGUAAGGAUUAUAGGAUUAUAAUCAUAUGAUUGUUGGGUUUUUCUCUGUACCUAUGAAGCGCCUUGAGGCAACUUUUGUUGUGAUUUGGCGCAAUAUAAAUAAAAUUGAAUUGAAUUGAAUUUUAGACGUUGGAGAGGUUCUCUCUUUCAGCUGGGAAGGGAAAAGAGGAUUUUCAGGGACUUAUUUUAAAUGCUUGUAUGCCUUAAAUCAGGACAAGCUCAGGAGUGUGAUUAAAAUAAUGAGUGGGUUAAUUUGAGAGAAGAUGAUUGAGUGAAUAACUUUCUGAUUGUGAGAAACUCAGACAUAAGUUUCUCACAUCACAUCAA